rnacentral:lncRNA from 1 species
AGCUCUUUCGGCACCAUAGUACUUAAGUACCACGGAGGAAUUUUGAGCUUCCGUGGCAGUCUCGACGGUCCGAUUAACCAUUGCAUCCCACUCUUGUUCGAAAAGGGUCAUGUUCUUAGAUGACUCGAUGCUAAGUGGACUUGGGUAGAUAAUAGCAGGUCUAAGCUCGAGGUUCCCCAAAGUUGAGUGGUUUGAGGAACGUACAAGACAAGAAACAUGGUCUUCAACGUCUUUGUCCCAUGUGAACGAAUCCAUGCGGUUUAGACAAUUCGAUUGUAUACCCUUAGUCGCGCUUUCCACACAAUUCAUACAAGCUUGUUGAUCAUAGCCCCUUGCGCAGAGGACAAGAACAUGAACUCUGUUGGGGCUUUUGCCAAGUGAAGCAUUGUAGAAUCCACUAUUGGCGAUGACUUUAUCAGCAAGAGUAGAGAAGAGACUGUCACGAUUCUGAACGUAGCUGCUGUUAGCGUUGAAGAAGCUUCCGGCACACCCGACGGCGUUAACAACUUCGAGGGUUUGAAGAACAAGAAGAAGAGAAGAAGCGAGGAAGAUCAUCAAAGCAGGGCAUUUCCUCAUUUUUUAUUUUUAUUUUUAUGUUUUUCUUUUCUUGUACUACUUUGUUAAUUUAGAUUCUUGUCAUCUUUAUAUAGAUGAAGAUGAGAUAAGAAACGAGUAUUGGUUGGCUUCAUUUAUUGGCCUUUUAUUUUUGUCUGGUCAAAGAAAUAUGAUCGUUCGUCGUUGGCUGCUUGGUUAUGGAUUUUAGAAAGUUUUGCAAGGGGUAGCUGCAACUCGUAGAGAAUAUUACCAGUGUACUUUUGAAAAAUGUAAUUGCCAAAAAAAGGCAUAGAUGGUGUAUUUAUCUUACUUUGCUCCCAUUUUUAGACUUUUUUGCCUUUUUUUUUUUCUUUUAUCUUCUAUUUACUUACUGAAAAAUAUUAAAACAUACGAGACUCAUUUAAAUUCACUCAUCAGCUUUUACACACUAAAUUGUAUAGGAUCCACUUUAAUUCAUCAGUUUCUAUACACUAAAUCACACGAGACCUACCCAUAUAUAUACAACUAUAUGGAUACUCAUGUAAAUAUGCAUAUAUAUUUAUAUAGUUACAUCCAUCUAUAAUAUAUGCAUGUGAAUAUGUAUGUAAAUAUAUAUGUGUUUCUAUAUAGUUACAUCUAUUUAUACUCUAUGUACGUGGAUAUGCAUAUAUAUAUAUAUAUAUAUUUUAAUAUUUGUGUUUAUGUUUACGCUACUAUAUGGAUACGUAUGUGUAUAUAUAUAUAUAUAUAUCUAUAUAAUUGCAUAGAUAUCCAUAUAUUUAUGUUCACGUGGACGCUACUAUAUGGAUACCCAUGUGUUUAUCACUAACUGACAAAAAAAUUAAAAGUUUAAAAAUAUAAAAUGGGUAUCAAAGUAUUAAAAAAUAAAUUAUAGAAUUCAUAGUGUCAAAAUAAUUAUUCGAUUAUUUUUUAAAUAAUAGAUAAAUAACAACAAACAAAUAUGGGAGGUGUGAUAUUAAUAAAAUAAUAAAUAAAUAAAUAAUAUAGAUAAGUAGGCAAAAAGGUUAAAACAAUUAUUUGUGUUCUCUAAACAGAAAAAGUGUGUAUUUUGGUAAUUAAAACACAAAAGUCCAUUUUUUAAACAUUAGAUAACUCAAAAAUACACCUAAUGGUAACACACUCUAUUGGUAAAUGAUAUAUAAAUAUGAAUUGCAGUAUUAGAAAAUUGUUAAAAACAUAUUAGUUAAUGUAGAAAAACUUUCGUCAUUAGAAGGAAAAGUUUAUAACAUGUUCAGUUAUGUUCCCUUUCAUAAUUAGACAUUUAAACCAAAGCUUAACAAAAGUCUAGUACUCUUUGUCUUUGACCCGCGUUGGAAUAAAUUCCAGGGAAGAAAAAAAAUAUAAAGAAUGAUGAAGAUGGUGUCUAUACAGAAAGAAUGGUCAACUUUUGAUUUGCAUCUAAAAUAAGUAAGGAGGUUUUUCACUUUUUUUUUUUGUAUCUCAUUUAUCUCAGCGAAGAAUACAAAAUCAGAUUGUGUUCAGGUCUAUUUUCAUGAUUAACGUAAACUUGGUACUACCAGUUUAAAUUAUCAAACCGUUUUUGAGGUAUUAAUGUUGUUGACCAAAAAAAAAUCCUUACACUAUUCAUAAUCAUAAUUCAUCAUAUUUAUUACGAAAACAGACAUAUCUGUUAGUGUACGCAUUAUUUUAUUAAUUUGGAAGUCUAUUGCUAAUUGUAUUGUUAUUUUUUGUUGUGCAAUCAUGCAGCUCAGCUAGAUGAUUUUAAUUUGGAGUAUAGUGGGAAGAAGCUCUUCGGUUAUCCUAAUCCCCAAUAUAUAUAUUUUUUUGGAAGACAUGUCAAUUUAAUUUAUUUUUCUUACAACUAGCUAGACAAAGAUAUUAAUUUAGUAUAUGACGUGAGAAAUGGGUUCAAAAAUAGAACUUUAAUUUGUCAUUUAGUUAUUUUUUUAACACAAUAGUUUUUCACUUAGUUAAAUUACACGUUUUUCAUAAGUAUGUAAUUAUAUUUACUAUCAUGUACAUGUGGAUAAUAUAAUUAUUUAUAAUGUUGAAUACAUACUGAUACGUCAUUUACGAAAAAUUUAUAAUGAGUAUUCUUUAAAAGGUACGUUUGAUAAAAGGAUAACAUGUUAAAAAAUUUCAAAAUGUUUUACCGUUCUCUUUGCUAUUUUCUAAUACGAACUUCUGGAACUUCCAUUUAUGUAAAAAAAAUAGAACUUUAAUUUGUCAUUUAGUUAUUUUUUGAACAAAAUAAUUUGUCAUUUAGUGAAAUUACACGUUUUUCGUAAGUAUAUGUGAUUAUAUAUACUAUCAUGGGAUAAUAAUAUUAUUUCUUAUGUUAAUUACAUACUGAUAUGUCAUUUACGGAAAAAAUUAUAAUGAGUAUUCUUUUAAAGGUACAUUUGAAAAAAAAAACAUUUUGCAUAAUUUUUUAUUGUUUUUUUUUUGGGUUAAAUUAUUUUUUUUUUUAUUGUUCUCUUUGCUAUUUUCUAAUAUGAACUUCUGGAACUUCCAUUUCCGUUAAAAUGUUUUCAUAUAUUACCAUCUACCUAAUUUAGUAUUUAUUUGACAUCUCACUUCUUUCAUAUUGUCUGUUGAAAUAUGAAAUGACACACUAGAUUUGUAAACUAAAUUUUUUAUUGAUAACACUAUUCUUGUCAACAGUUUAUAAGUAAACUUGUGAAAUAUUUUUUUUUAAUAGCUCACCUACAAUUUCUCAUGAUUAAUAGCCCACCUACUAAUGAUUUUAAAAUUUCUUUGUUUUUGUCAUUUAUCAUCAAAUGUAAAUAUAAAUAAAUUUACUAUUGCCAAUUGAAAUAUAAGCAUCCUUUGUUCUGUACAAUUACAUUCUCUAAUUUAGUUGGUACAUCGGAGUUAGUUGAUUUGAAUACGAUGGAUUUUGAUAGUUUUUUUUUUGUCAGCACGGAGGAUUUUGAUAAUGUAAGGUCGUUAAUAUAAUGUUAUUUUUUUCUCCAUCAACAUGCAAUAUAUUAAGAUUGAAGUUGACGUGUUGUAUACGUCCAAAAGUAAUGCAUUUCAGAGGAAGCACCGUGAUACUUUCAUGGAAAACCAAGACCUUUCAGUUGACCAAAAAAGUUAUCAAAGUGUUUAAUUUGGCUCAUUGGGACAACAAAAAAUUUUGGUUGAGGCUUUGAAUGGUUGUAAAUAUUUAAGACCUUUCAGGACAACGAAGUGUUUGCCAUGUCGUUUACGUCAAGCGAAAAAGAGGGGGAAAAGGUCUUUUCCUUGCUCCUUACGUCACCAUAAAAUGUUAGGGCUUUUCACUGAUAAACGAUGUGAUAAUAGUAAAGCCUCUUCUUUUCUAUAUUCUUGUUUGAUUGCCAAAUAAUUAUAGUUACUGCUUUAAAACAAUAUGUUUUGAUUAACACAAAUUUAUAACUCAACGAGAACUCAACUCCGUGAAGACAGUGCUCAUUGACAUUGUACCAUCCUCAGAUUGGGAUUGAUUCCCUGUGAAAGCUGGAGCCUUGGGUGAAGGAAUGGUGAUAGUCUCACUGCCAAGCCAAACUAUUACAGAGCUCAUGGUUGGUCUGUUUGUUGGAUUCUCUUGAACACACAACAAACCAAUCUGGAUCAGCUUAAUGAUCUCGUUACUCGAAUUAUCUACCAAGAAAGGAUCAAUUAUAAUCGCAGGCCUUCCUUCUUUCCAUCUCUUCCAUGCCUGAACCAAAAAAAAAAAAAAGAUCCAAUCACUUACUAGAGAGGUGUGAAAAUACAAAAUGAAAUACCAUGAACAAAGACGGAUUUGUGAAGAAACUUACGAAAGCUGCAAGUCCUUCUCCUUCGAAGCUAUUGUUUCUUUCCCCACUUAUCAUCUCAAGAAGCAUAACACCGAAGCUAUAUACAUCAGAUUUAGCUGAGAUUUGCCCGUGGUUAAGGUAUUCAGGAGCCAUAUAUCCACUACAUAUAUGGAAAUUAAUUCAUGAUUAGUUGAUCCAUAUAUCCACUAUACAUGCAACUAAUAGUGUUAAUUGAUGGUGAGCAUAUUUACGUAUCUUCAAAGUUGAUUGCUAUGUUCUUACCGGGUUCCAGCUAUUCGUUUUGUUUCAGCUCGAGUCUCAUCAGUAUCGAACAACCUAGCGGUCCCAAAGUCUGCGACUUUAGGAUUCAUCUCUGCAUCUAGUAGAAUGUUGCUCGGCUUCAAGUCUCGGUGAAUAAUCUUCAGCUGAGAAUCGUCAUGGAGAUAAACAAGACCUCGAGCAACGCCUUCUAUAAUUUUGAACCUCACCUCCCAUGUAAGAAGCGAACGCUUCUCGUCAUCUGCAGAUUUUAAAGAAACAUUUUCUUGCUAAGAGGUUCCAAAACUAUCGAAAAUGUAGUCAUGUUUCCAAGGCUCACCGAAGAUAAAGUGAUCAAGACUUGAAUUGAGGACAAAUUCGUAGACAAGAAUCUCUUCGUCUCCUUCAUUACAGAACCCAAGAAGCUUAACCAGAUUCCGAUGUUGGAGUCUUGUCAAUAGUGAAACCUCAUUCUUAAACUCUGCAUCUCCUUGUCCUGAACCUUUUGUCAAUCUCUUCACCGCUAUCUCUUGGCCAUUUGGUAAUGUCCCCUGAAAGCGGUUCUCAAUAUAUAUUAUUUUAUUUAAGACCAAGGUUGAUUAAGAACUCAUAAUUAGGAAGAAAAGAAAGGUUAUUACCUUAUAGACCAUACCGAAUCCACCUUGGCCAAGCUUAUUUUCAGGCGAGAAGUCAUCGGUUGCCAUUAAGAUCAUACCAAGAUCAAAUCUUAACAUAUAUUGACCAUCCGAAUCAUGGUAUUCUGCAUUACCGACUCAAAAAUAAAAGAAAUAAGUCUUACUCUCUACAUCAUAAAUGUUGUUGAAGCAAAAAAGAAGCUAACACUUACCAUUGAUUCUUUUGUUUAAUUUUCUCCUCCGAGCAUUGAUUUUGAAGAAACCAAUAAACACCAAAAGAUUAAUCAAAGUAAGAACCACAAAUAUCGCUAUAAUUCCCCUAUACCCUAUGCUUCUUCCUGCAAAUUAUUGACCUUUUUUUAAGUCUGGGACCAUCUUUAUCAUAUACUUACAAAUUGUGGCAAUGCCAUAACUCAUUUGUUUUACCUUUCUUGACUGUUAUUGGGCUCCCAUUUUCCGGAUUCGGAGGCCGAGGAGGGGCAGGAACUCUUGUUACAUUAUCAAAAGCACCAUGGAAGGUAUAAAAAUCCCACCUGAAAAAACAGCUCGGACGAUUAACCUCGCCUCCUUGUCUUUUCCAAAACUGUGUUUUCCAAAGCGCCACGCAAUCUCUCAAACAACUCUUGCAAUCUUGGGAAGUAAUGUCGGGUGUGCAUUGCAUCAGCAUGUAAACAUUUGGAAACUCGGUGAACUCAGCUCUUUCGGCACCAUAGUACUUAAGUACCACGGAGGAAUUUUGAGCUUCCGUGGCAGUCUCGACGGUCCGAUUAACCAUUGCAUCCCACUCUUGUUCGAAAAGGGUCAUGUUCUUAGAUGACUCGAUGCUAAGUGGACUUGGGUAGAUAAUAGCAGGUCUAAGCUCGAGGUUCCCCAAAGUUGAGUGGUUUGAGGAACGUACAAGACAAGAAACAUGGUCUUCAACGUCUUUGUCCCACGUGAACGAAUCCAUGCGGUUUAGACAAUUCGAUUGUAUACCCUUAGUCGCGCUUUCCACACAAU